rnacentral:misc_RNA from 1 species
UCGAGAAAGCACUUCUUUCGAGAGUGCGACCCUCCCAACCCUGUGUUUAUUUGACCUCUUGUUGCUUCGGCGAGCCGGCAGCCCUGGACUUCCCGUCAGGUGUCAGCCGCCGGUGCUCCCCCCCAGGGGAGUGCUGGACAGAUUUGCUCGUCGACGGCUCACAUCAAAAUUCUUGUCCCGAAACGUGUCGUCUAAAAAACUUUUUGAGAAAUCAAAUCA